CCCUUAGAUGUUCUGGGCCGCAUGCGUGCUACACUGAGUAAUUCAAUGGGUAAGGGAACGCUAGAGCAUUACCUAAUCUUGAAAUUUGCUCGUGAUGGGGAUCGACGGUUGCAAUUUUCCGUCGUGAACGAGGAAUACCUUGUAGGCGCAUGUCAUCAUCAUGCGCCGAAUACGUCCCUGCCCUUUGUACACACCGCCCGUCGCUCCUACCGAUUGAGUGAUCCGGUGAGGCUCUGGGACCUGGACGGAAAGAGCGUUUCGCUUGUUCUGUUUGGGAAACUUGGUCGAACCUUAUCAUUUAGAGGAAGGAGAAGUCGUAACA
rnacentral:rRNA from 1 species